UACAGAGGUGACAAACGUUGUCCGGAAUUAUUGGGCGUAAAGGGCGCGUAGGUGGUUGAGUAAGUCAGGUGUGAAAGCUCUGGGCUUAACCCAGGAAUUGCAUCUGAUACUGCUCGGCUUGAGUACGGUAGAGGAGGGUGGAAUUCCCAGUGUAGCGGUGAAAUGCGUAGAUAUUGGGAGGAACACCGGUGGCGAAGGCAGCUCGCUGGGACGGUACUGACGCUGAGACGCGAAAGCGUGGGGAGCAAACAGG
rnacentral:rRNA from 1 species